GCCUAGCCGUAACACACAAUUAAACUACCAAUUGUUCGCCAAACAACUACGAGCCAUACUUGAAACUUAAAAGACUUGACGGUACUUCAUCACGGCCUAGAGGAGCCUGUCCAAUAACCGACAAUCCACGAUUAACCCAGCCCCUCCUUGCCCAACAGUCUAUAUACCACCGUCGCCAGCUUACCUUGUAAAAGAAAUAAAGUGAGCUAGAUAGUACAACACUAAAACGACAGGUCGAGGUGUAACUUAUGAAGGGGACCAAGAUGGGCUACAUUCUCCAACCGAGAAUACGAAUAACACUAUGAAACUAAUGUUUGAAGGCGGAUUUAGCAGUAAGAUAAGAAUAAAACACUUGACUGAACACAACGCAAUGAAGUGCGUACACACCGCCCGUCAUCCCUGCCACCACAAUAUAAACCUUAAUAAACUAACCUGAAAAAAUCAAACAGGGCAAGUCGUAACAUGGUAAGUGUACUGGAAAGUGUACUUAGAAA
rnacentral:rRNA from 1 species